UGGGGAAUCUUGCACAAUGGGCGAAAGCCUGAUGCAGCGACGCCGCGUGAGCGAUGAAGCCCUUCGGGGUGUAAAGCUCUUUCGACGGGAACGAUAAUGACGGUACCCGGAGAAGAAGCUGCGGCUAACUACGUGCCAGCAGCCGCGGUAAUACGUAGGCAGCAAGCGUUGUUCGGAAUUACUGGGCGUAAAGCGUGCGUAGGCGGUGUCAUAAGUUUGGUGUGAAAUCUCCCGGCUCUACUGGGAGGGUGCGCCGAAGACUGUGAUGCUCGAGUAUGGGAGAGGUAGGCGGAAUUCCUGGUGUAGCGGUGAAAUGCGUAGAUAUCAGGAGGAACACCUGUGGUGUAGACGGCUUACUGGACCAUGACUGACGCUGAGGCACGAAAGUGUGGGUAGCAAACAGG
rnacentral:rRNA from 1 species